UGAGAUUCGAAAGCAAACGAUCUACCUUGUUUAGCCAACAUCUUUUUGAAGCAAGUAAUUUCCUCCGCAAUAAAGAACCAUCAGAACCAAUCUUCAAUUCUUCAAAAGUCUCUUUAGUAAACUGAUGUCCAAUACUCAUUGGAUCUCUUAAACUUGCUUCUUUUGAUGCUUCUCCCAUUUGUUCUUUAGAAUCUUCUGGUAAUGGUCCGGCAACAAGCUUUAUCUUCUUAUCUACCGUUUUAUAUCUCGUCUCUAGAGUGACUUCUGGUGCUUGAAAAGAUUCAAGUAUGGUAUAAACCUCUUUUGAAUGAAUUUCAACAAUCUUAUCAUUAUCCCCUAACCCAAUAGAUGUAAUCAAUUCCAAUAAAUCUUCCAGUCCAUUUUCUUCAUAAACACCUAAAAUCCUCUCAUCAUCUUGCAAUGUACCUAACUUGUAUAAUUCUCUUUCAAUAUUAUAUAAUCUUUUUCUUUCUUUUCUUUUAAAAUCAUCAACUUUCUUAUAUAUAAUAUUUCCAUUCUCCAAUAUACCAA
rnacentral:lncRNA from 1 species